rnacentral:rRNA from 1 species
AGGCGACGAUCCGUAGCUGGUCUGAGAGGAUGAUCAGCCACAUCGGGACUGAGACACGGCCCGAACUCCUACGGGAGGCAGCAGUGGGGAAUAUUGGACAAUGGGCGAAAGCCUGAUCCAGCCAUGCCGCGUGUGUGAAGAAGGCCUUAUGGUUGUAAAGCACUUUAAGCGAGGAGGAGGCUACUGAGACUAAUACUCUUGGAUAGUGGACGUUACUCGCAGAAUAAGCACCGGCUAACUCUGUGCCAGCAGCCGCGGUAAUACAGAGGGUGCGAGCGUUAAUCGGAUUUACUGGGCGUAAAGCGUGCGUAGGCGGCUUUUUAAGUCGGAUGUGAAAUCCCCGAGCUUAACUUGGGAAUUGCAUUCGAUACUGGGAAGCUAGAGUAUGGGAGAGGAUGGUAGAAUUCCAGGUGUAGCGGUGAAAUGCGUAGAGAUCUGGAGGAAUACCGAUGGCGAAGGCAGCCAUCUGGCCUAAUACUGACGCUGAGGUACGAAAGCAUGGGGAGCAAACAGGAUUAGAUACCCUGGUAGUCCACGCCGUAAAC